rnacentral:rRNA from 1 species
UGGCGGACGGGUGAGUAAUGUCUGGGAAACUGCCCGAUGGAGGGGGAUAACUACUGGAAACGGUAGCUAAUACCGCAUAACGUCGCAAGACCAAAGAGGGGGACCUUCGGGCCUCUUGCCAUCGGAUGUGCCCAGAUGGGAUUAGCUAGUAGGUGGGGUAACGGUUCACCUAGGCGACGAUCCCUAGCUGGUCUGAGAGGAUGACCAGCCACACUGGAACUGAGACACGGUCCAG